AUUCUUUCACUUGGAUUUAGUAGGACAAGGCUGGCACAGAUACCUGUGCACAGAGAAGGCUUAGAAGAGCCCAGAGGCAUUUCCCUGAUGCCCACUUUGAAGCACCUACACCUCAGAGGUCAGGGGUAAUAGUCACACUUUCUUCUUCAUGCCUUGGUUAUCCAAGUCUCCAUGCAGAGCUUUAGAUGUCAUGAAUGCUGAAUUUGUCUGCGAUCAACAUACCACAACACCAAUCAGUCCUGUGGCACAAAUGGAAGUAAAUUAUUACCUUGCUCACCGUACAGAAAGUAAGGAACUGAACUUCAUGACUGUUUCCAAGGAAAUAAAUAGAAGGCAUUACUUUCGGAGCAACCUACAUAUCAUAUCAUAAUCAUAGAAUGGCCUGGGUUGAAAAGGACCAUAAUGAUCAUCGAGUUUCAACCCCCCUGCUAUGUGCAGGGUCGCCAACCACCAGACCAGGCUGCCCAGAGCCACAUCCAGCCUGACCUUGAAUGCCUCCAGGGAUGGGGCAUCCACAACCUCCUCGGGCAACCUGUUCCAGUGCGUCACCACCCUCUGUGUGAAAAACUUCCUCCAAAUAUCUAACUUAAACCUACCCUGUCUCAGUUUAAGACCAUUCCUCAUUGUCAUCUCACUAUCCA
ensembl:lncRNA